UACUAGAGUAGCACUCGCAUAUCAAUAAGCGGAGGAAAAGAAACUAACAAGGAUUCCCCUAGUAACGGCGAGUGAAGCGGGAAGAGCUCAAAUUUGAAAUCUUAAAGGGUUUCCCUUUACGAAUUGUAGUUUAAAGAAGUGUUUUCUGUUGAGGUUUUGGUAAAAGUUCUUUGGAAUAGGACAUCAUAGAGGGUGAGAAUCCCGUAUUUGACCUUUACUUUCAACUUUGUGAUACACUUUCAAAGAGUCGGAUUGUUUGGGAAUGCAGUCCAAAAUGGGUGGUAAAUUUCAUCUAAAGCUAAAUAUUGGCGAGAGACCGAUAUAGCGAACAAGUACCGUGAGGGAAAGAUGAAAGGAACUUUGAGAAGAGAGUUAAACAGUACGUGAAAUUGUCAAAAGGGAAGCGUUUGACACCAGUGUUGUUUUUCUGAAAAUCAAUUAAAGAACUGUUUAUGCUAAGCUGUUUAGACUUUAUCAGCUAUCUGUUUAGUUUUGAGCUUUUCUUUAAUGCACUUUUCAGUUAACAAGUCAACAUCAAUUUCUUUUGCUGUAAAAAAGCUUGAGGAAGGUGGCUUGAGAUUCGUCUUAAGUGUUUAUAGCCUCUUGCCUAUGCAGUCGGAGAGAUUGAGGUCUGCAGCGUAGAUCCUUCGGGGCUAAAUGCAUUUGUGCUAAGUUAUAGCAUUUUAUAGACAACUUGUUGACUAUGAUUUGUCUUGUAGCUUACUCGCUUAUGUUAUUUUACCUACGCUUAGGAUGUUGAUCUCUCACAGUCGAGC
rnacentral:rRNA from 1 species